GGCGGCGUGGCUUAGUGGAAAGAGCACGGGAUUGGGAAUCCCAGGUUCUGGGUUCUAAUCCCAGCUCUGCCA